rnacentral:rRNA from 1 species
AUAUCAAUAAGCGGAGGAAAAGAAACCAACGGGGAUUGCCCUAGUAACGGCGAGUGAAGCGGCAACAGCUCAAAUUUGAAAUCUGGCUCCCCUCGCGGGGGCCCGAGUUGUAAUUUGCAGAGGAUGCUUCUGGCGCGGCGCCUUCCGAGUUCCCUGGAACGGGACGCCAUAGAGGGUGAGAGCCCCGUCUGGUCGGCCGCCAAGCCUCUGUGAAGCUCCUUCGACGAGUCGAGUAGUUUGGGAAUGCUGCUCAAAACGGGAGGUAUAUGUCUUCUAAAGCUAAAUACCGGCCAGAGACCGAUAGCGGACAAGUAGAGUGAUCGAAAGAUGAAAAGCACUUUGAAAAGAGGGUUAAACAGUACGUGAAAUUGUUGAAAGGGAAGCGCUCGCGACCAGACUCGGGCCCGGCGGAUCAUCCGGCGUUCUUCGCCGGUGCGCUCCGCCGGCGCCCGGGCCAGCAUCGGCUCGCCGCGGGGGAUAAAGGCGGCGGGAACGUGGCCCCUCCGGGGGUGUUAUAGCCCGCCGCGCAAUGCCCCGCGCCGCGGGCCGAGGACCGCGCCCUAGGCAAGGAUGCUGGCGUAAUGGUCGCUAGCGAC